UAGGGAAUCUUCGGCAAUGGACGAAAGUCUGACCGAGCAACGCCGCGUGAGUGAAGAAGGUUUUCGGAUCGUAAAACUCUGUUGGUAGAGAAGAACGUUGGUGAGAGUGGAAAGCUCAUCAAGUGACGGUAACUACCCAGAAAGGGACGGCUAACUGCGUACCAG
rnacentral:rRNA from 1 species